rnacentral:rRNA from 1 species
AUUGAACGCUGGCGGCGUGCUUAACACAUGCAAGUCGAUCGGUAACGCGGGGGCAACCCUGGCGACGAGAGGCGGACGGGUGAGGAACGCUUGGGAAUCUGCCUAUCAGCGGGGGACAACCCGGGGAAACUCGGGCUAAUACCGCAUACGCUCUACGGAGGAAAGCCGGGGACCGCAAGGCCUGGCACUGAUAGAUGAGCCCAAGUCGGAUUAGCUAGUUGGCGGGGUAACGGCCCACCAAGGCGACGAUCCGUAGCUGGUCUGAGAGGACGAGCAGGCACACGGGGACUGAGACACGGCCCAGACUCCUACGGGAGGCAGCAGUGGGGAAGAUUGGACAAUGGGGGAAACCCUGAUCCAGCGACGCCGCGUGGGUGAAGAAGGCCUGCGGGUUGUAAAGCCCUCUCGGUAGGGACGAAAGCUCUCGACCUAACACGUCGGGAGGUUGACUUAACCUACAAAAGAAGCACCGGCUAACUCUGUGCCAGCCGCCGCCGUAAAAC